UUUAUUUCAGACACUAUUCCCAGAUGGCUUCAGAAAGAUCUAAGGAAUUUCAACCGAGGAACGAGCACUUCUCUGAUAAAGGAGGCUUUUGGCAGCUGGGGAUUUCUGCACAGAAGCCAUCCCUGAGACCCCCCUAUGACUGGAGCUGCAAAAGGUGAUGGCAAAAGGCUUGGCACUGCACUGGCUGUAAUGCUUCUGGGGACGUGCUGGAGAGAAGUCCUUGGCCAGGGAGGAGUGUGAAGUCACACUGGAAGAUUCUCUCGGAGGAGGGCUGAAGGAGGCUGUAGCAUUUCUAGUGAGUGUUUACAUCCACUUCUCCAGACAACAAGCAAACACAGAAAUGAUCAAAGGAGUUGGUAGGUAACCUGCUGGCUGCUGUCUCCUUGGGUUAGCAUCCUUUGAGUUCAAAAGAUUGAAAACUGCCUACAAUUAUUUUAAGCCAUUUUCUCAGUUUUUGUUAUCAGAAAGCUGUUGAUACGUUAAGCAUGUAAUUAAAAAGGAAUUGAGCAAGACUUCAGUGAAGUAGCAGAUUUGAGCUGUUGUAGCUGAAAGACAGAUUUGAUGUAACAUGGUGUCAUGGUUUAAUCCUGGCUAGCAAGGAAAUACCAUGCAGCUCCUCGCUCACUACCCCACCAGCAGGACUGGGGAGAGAAUCAGGACAAAAGCUUGAAAACCUGUGGGCUGAGAUAAAGACAGUCUAAUAGGGAAAGCAAAAGCUGCACACAUAAUCAAAGCAAAGCAAGGAAUAAAUUCCCUGCUUUCCAUGGGCAGGCAGGUGUUCAGCCAACUCCAGGAGAGCAGGGCCCCACUGUGUGUUAACUGUACUUGGGAAGACAAACUCCACCACUCCAAACAUUCCCCCGCUUCCUCCUUCUUCCCCCCACUCUAUAUACUGAGCAUGAUGCCAUUUGGUAUGGAAUAUCUCUUUGGUCAGCUUGGGUCACCUGUCCCAGCUGUGUCUCCUCCCAGCUUCCUUGCCAGCGUGGCAGUGAGAAAAACAGAAAAGACCUUGAGUCUGUGUAAGUGCUGCUCACCAAUAACAAAAACAUCUCUAUCUUAUCAACUCUGUGUUCAGCACAAAUCCAAAGCACAGCCCCAUACUAGCCAUUGUGAAAAAAAUUAACUUUACCCCAGACAAAACCAGCACACAUAGUUAACAUUUUUCAUUUUGUUAGAGCUAACAGCUUUAUGAAGAUAUGCUAAAAGAUCCUCACUGCCUGACAAAAUUCCGAUAAUGUAUGUUCAGCCACCUGCAAUUACUGAAGCAGCAGUUGAGUCACAAGACUUACUCAUGGAUAUUUAGCUUUACUCUACACCUGAGAUUACCCAAUGGACUAGAGCAGCCAAGGGGCUGACCCAGUACUGUAUUGGCAAUGUUUUAAGCUCUGUUUUUCUAGGAGUGUUUGCAGUGCUCUGGGAAGAUCUUGUUUAGCAGUUUGAUGUCACUGAAGAGCUUAAAAAUGCAACUGUCCCUCCAUAAUACUUUGUUGAGACUCAAAUUCUGCAGUGUUUUUUGAAUAUGGAAUACAAAAUUUAAAAUAAGUGUUAAUAUUGGGACUAUGUUGACUGUGACAGAUAGACUGCAUAACCAGUGGUGGGUGCAAGACUUUUGGAUGAUGAAGGGCAUCAUCAAGGCCCUCUUCUGUGAGUUGGUGCCGUACCUCCACCAUCCUCACGUGAGAUUUCAGAGCCCAUAGCUGUGUCCAAAUAAAUGACUGCCAUGUUUUAGAGUCUUGCAACCUCCAACCAUUACUCCUUGAUCACUAAUUCCUUUGAGGUGAUCAGGUACACCAUGGGCAAAGAGGUUAUGGAGAUUUUGUCUUCAACAGUGCUGUGGGUGACAUCUAAGAAGGUCUCCAAGUCUUCCUAAAUUGACAAGAAUCAUAUUCUCCUUCUGCUUCCAGCCUACUGCAGAUACAACUAUAUACGUUGUAAGGCUUUGCUCAACCUCUGAGAUUACCACCGUGUUACCUUGCCCCUUGAGAAACUCCUCUUUCUCUCAUGGUACAGGUCUGUGGGAAACAUCAUAUCUUCGGGGUGCAGACUGCAACUACCUGAGUUUUUUGGCAGGGGUAAGAGGGAGCUUCCAGAGGAGACAGAAGUGUGGGGGAAAAGUAACACAAAAAGGACGGGUUCAGCAACAGAA